CUGCAGCUUUACAUAAACAAGCUGGCAGAAUACAGUCCGAUCAUUUAGCUUCGGGAAGGUUUUGUGGAGGCAAUCAUAAAGAUUGCAUCGCGCUCAAAGGAUUUGUGCUUCUGGACUCAUCAGCUGUGGUUGUACUUGUUGGCAGCUUGCACAUGCAGAGGUGUAGAAUGAGGCUUCUUGGUGUCCGCAGUGUCCUUUUGUCGAAGUGUUUUAAUUGCGUAUGUGUGGAGGCCUGCCUUCCCCCUAUAAAUGAAAUGACCUGGUUGCAGUCAGUCGGAUUACGUCACCUGACGACCUUUCACCUGAGGUCAUCUCUGCCCUAACAGAGCAGCUGUGACCCGGACGUCGCCGACAGACACUCAUCAGAAGGAAUAUUGGGAAUUUAUUUCACUCUGAAAAAAAGAAACAACUGCCGGUCACUGCACAGCCCUGGUUGGCAGCUUGGGACUUCCGUCUGUCUGCUCAGAUGCAGAGGAUCUUUACUUCACUUAAACAAGCCCUACCUUUCUCAAACUGGCUUGUUCAGCGGAAGUGAUGUGUGAAUUCUUUUGCUGAGGAAAUCAAAUGUGUGGGAUCAUUUCCAGAGGCUAAAGGACGACCCCAAGAAGAUGACAUGCAAACUCUGAAGGCAAACAUUCACCUAUCAUUCAUCGACCUCAAACAUGGCUUAUCAUUGGAAGCAUAUAAGUGGUGUGAGUUGUUGAUUUCAUGGGGUAAACUGAAAAUGAAAUUCUCCUUUGGCAGCCCAGUACUUCAUGUUAUCUGUGGACCAGACCAUUGUGAACAGCCACAUCACUGUCUUCAGUGACGCUCUUGUGUUGAUGUUUGGCUCUUACUACUGCAUGAACAUUUCCUACCCAGAAGCCCAAGGAGCAACAUUGGAGUUCUUGCAGAGAUGCCUUUUCAAGAUAAAUCCCGACGAGGAAUCGAAAGUGGAGAGGAAUGCUUCAGAAAGCACCUGGCGGCCCAGUCCAAAGGUUCUUUCCCUGAUAACAAAAAUUGUAGACUAUGAAUCGAGGGAAUAAAAAAAAACAUUCUUCAGAAAAGAAAACAUUGGAGUCUGGUCUCCCUCCUCUCACAUGCACAGUAAUUCAUACCAGUCUCACAUAGUGUUUUCUAAAACACUCACUGUAUUCUUGAGUUUGAGUGUGCGUGAAGUAUUGUCAGAGUGUACCACUGUAACCCAGAUGCAUACUGGUGUAUACUGAUGUAUAUAUGUGAUAAUAACAUAUCCCCUUAUAGGUGACCUAUAUGGCAACAUCACUCUUGAUAUAGGGACAUAUAUGUAAUGUAUUACAUUUCUAUGAAAAUAGAUUUAUUAUCAUCUGCUUAUUGUCAUCAGUUCGUCCCAGACAAAUGUGAUGCGUUUAAGCUGUUUCCAAUGUAUUACACAUUACACCUAUUGUAUUGUCUUCCAACUGCAUGUGUCACAUGACUACUUUGGUUCAAUCAUGAUCAUUGAGUGAUCACGCCUGUGGUAAAAGUAAGGCCACUUUAAUUAACUCAAGAUGGAUAAUAACCCUGAGACUGCAGACAAGUCAGCAGUGUAGGAUCUGAAAGGUCCAACUGAACUCACCAUUCAUCAUCCACCAUUCAGAAACAGAGCCAGACCCAUGAAUCAGCCUGGCCGAUAUAUGGGCCAACAUUCGCAUAUUGCACAUACAUUGUAUUUACAGUAUGAGGGCUGAUGAGUAAUUGGAAAUUACUGUACAGAAGUGCCUAAAUAUGUUUUAGGUAAUGUAGAAACAGUGUCUCCAUUUACUGAGAGCACUGACAAAUUGUCCUUACGAGGAAACAGUAUCGGCUGGAAAAAUCCACGCCAUUGACUAUAGUCAGAAAAAAGGUUAAUCUAUUAUUAAUAUUUAUAAUUAUUAUUAUUGUUAUUUUAUAAAAGAGGAGAAAAAGGUCUUGUUGGGUCUGUCAGAGGACCAUUGAUUAACAGAGCUGAGCAGUGUGUUGCAGCAGGGAAAAAAAGCAUGCAUUUUAAUUGAAGUCGGACUUUAAUCUAUAUGUAAAGUAUGGUGUAUAUGCAUAAUAUAUGCAAAAGUAGAAUAAAAAUAUCAAAAGCAGAUAGUGUUAAGUACUUAGUAGUGCUAAGCACAACGAUCUCUAUCAGUAUGAUGCUGGUAGAAAAAAAUAAAGCGCAGAGUACACUGUCAUAAUGAGCAGUGUGUCAGCUUGCAUACAUGGCUUUUUAUCUUUUAAUGUAGACUGCAUUAAAUCAUCUUGCACAUGUGCUCCUUUUAUAUUGUAAUGGGAAACCUGCAAGUGUAUAUUUAGUUUGUGUCUUCCUGCAUGUACAGUACAUUCAUUCUCCAGUCUGUCAUAUCAUUCCUCCUCUGCGAAAAACCUUUUUUGUGCGGUGUUCUGACCUUUCCAUUAUGAGUUUUUUUGUGUCACAUCAGGACUAUAGCGCCUUAGACAUAAUUGUUUCUGAGGAGCCAAAUAAGAUUUCAAUCCAAAUUCACAAACAUUCUCAAUGCGUUUGACUUGCUGAUGGAAAAACAAACUCGUCAUAGGCUUCACAACACAUCAUAUCCCAAAUAUAUUUCCGUCAGAGUCUGAGCCAUUCACACCCUCAAAUACAUGGGAAACUUAUGUUUAGCUGUCACAUACUGUCAGUCCGGCUGUCGCGGGAUUUUAGAAGUGUGCAAAUACAAAGAUAAAUAUGAAAGUGUAUGUGUGGGGCGAAUAAUGAAGGGUUUGCUGUAACUGUCAGACUCUCACAGAUCACAGCGUGCAUACAGGAGAUUAUUCCUGGGGAAGUGACAUGUCGAUGACGUGCAAAUCUGUAUACACAAUUACUAUUAUACAGACUUCAAGGGGACAGUGGGAGUCAUAAAUCUCCAAGAAUGCGGUCACAUUCAGGAAAAACAGUCGAUUGAUUUUAUGCUCGGCAACAUUUCAAACGUUUUUAUUUAAAGUUUAAUUAUUUCAAAAGAGACAGAUGAGGUAUGAGAAUAGAGAAAAAUACUGUAACACAAUUCAAAUAAUGUACUGAUAUUACAAUUUCCCAUUUUAGCUGACAGUGGCUACUGUGCUCCUCAAAGUGAUUGUAGCUGUUACUGAAAAUUGUGACGUAUAGCCACACUAUAACCUGUGUAAUUUUAACAAUAAAAGCCUAUGAAUUAAUAGUCUUAUAUGAAAAUUUAGCCCACCAAUAAAGCCUGCAAGUUGAUGGUAUUCAAGGUGACACUAGCGAAUUUUGGAAACCCAUAACAAUUUAAAGUAAUCAAGAGCGACGAUGGUUUCUAAAAAUAUUUUUAGACCCAUUAUUGUGAGGUAAUGAUUUAUAUAAUGAAUCCUAACGCUCAAGAUAUCCAAGAUUAUCUAAUUAUCUAAUCAAUUAUAACACAAUGGCAGUUUUUUGUUCAGGCGUAUUUAUUUUAUCCACUUUCUGGUGAUCAAACCAAAUUAGGAAGUACAGAAGACUGCUAUGCCACAGACCAUUUCAUUUUAAUUUAAGAUGUGAUCUUUAGGAAAUAAUAUUUAAUUCCUCAAGAUAACGUCAUUAAAUUUUUAUCUCGGGAUAACAGUAACUAUAAAGUCAAUAUCCGCUCUCACCUGGAAGACUACGUAACAUACAUAAUAACAGAAGCAAAAUGUCACUGAAAUGCCAAAUCCUUGUAACUAAUUAAGAGAAAGUGUGAUUAAUUUAAUUUUACUGCCUCCCUCACAUCACAUCACACACACGUUCAAAAAGUUUGACAAGAAUAAUAUAAAAUACUUCCUGUUGUUGGGUUGUUCUCCUGAAUUAUCAUUGCAUACUUUUGUUUUUAAAAAAAAAGCACAAAUUCUUGCGUGAAUAUUACAGUUUUGGAUUGACUUUUAAAACCUGCAGUGACGCACAUUUUAACAUACUGUAUCUACUUCUGUCAUGCCUGCCCUGAGCUUUAAAUUACAUUAUAAGAAUGAAACGUUCUGCAAAGAUGCUUCUGUGAGUCUGAGACCCAAAAAGUGCCUGUCAGAACUUUACAGAGCUCAUUAGAUUUUGCUUUUAAAUUUUUAAAAACCUGUCCAAUAAAAUAUGCAUGAAGUA